ACAAGCGGUGAGCAUGUGGUUAAUUCGAUGAUACGCGGGAACCUUACCUGGGCUCAAAUGUAUGUUGACGUAUUCUGAAAGGGAUACUUCUUCGGACAAUAUACAAGGUGCUGCAUGGUUGUCGUCAGCUCGUGCCGUGAGGUGUCGGGUUAAGUCCCAUAACGAGCGCAACCCCUAUCAUUAGUUGCCAUCAGGUCAAGCUGGGGACUCUAAAGGAACUGCCUACGCAAGUAGUGAGGAAGGCGGGGAUGACGUCAAAUCAGCACGGCCCUUACGUCCAGGGCUACACACGUGCUACAAUGGCCGAUACAGAGGGCAGCUACCUGGUGACAGGAUGCAAAUCUCCAAAGUCGGUCUCAGUUCGGAUCGGAGUCUGCAACCCGACUCCGUGAAGUUGGAUUCGCUAGUAAUCGCGCAUCAGCCAUGGCGCGGUGAAUACGUUCCCGGGCCUU
rnacentral:rRNA from 1 species